AACCGUUUCCGAACACUGGGAGAGUGCAGUUUUCUUCCUUUUCUCACCGGAAUAAGUUAUGCCUUCUACAGAGAGAGCCUAGAGCAUAACCUUUUGACCAGGGCAAGAGAUGAUCUGAAGGGACUACCCAGGACUCUUCCAGCAGCAGGCCGACAGCCCAUCAUUAAAGAUUAUCCGAUCACCACACCACUGCCUGGAUGGCCCCAUUUAAAGUUUCCUUCCAGACCCUGUGGUCCAAAUGCAAUGUCCUAUCUUAAAAACUAAAGCCAGGGCUUUUCCCAUGCGAAACAGGAGUCUGCUCUUAGCAGAGAGGAGACUAAGGAGAAAGAGAAAAGCACGCAAUUAAACUGGAAUUUCAGAUACA